AUUGAACGCUGGCGGAAUGCUUUACACAUGCAAGUCGAACGGCAGCACGGACUUCGGUCUGGUGGCGAGUGGCGAACGGGUGAGUAAUGUAUCGGAACGUGCCCAGUCGUGGGGGAUAACGUAGUGAAAAUUACGCUAAUACCGCAUACGAUCUAUGGAUGAAAGCGGGGGAUCGCAAGACCUCGCGCGAUUGGAGCGGCCGAUAUCAGAUUAGGUAGUUGGUGGGGUAAAGGCCCACCAAGCCAACGAUCUGUAGCUGGUCUGAGAGGACGACCAGCCACACUGGAACUGAGACACGGUCCAGACUCUUACGGGAGGCAGCAGUGGGGAAUUUUGGACAAUGGGCGAAAGCCUGAUCCAGCCAUUCCGCGUGCAGUAUGAAGGCCCUCGGGUUGUAAACUGCUUUUGUACAGAACGAAAAGGUUUCUACUAAUACUAGGAGCUCAUGACGGUACUGUAAGAAUAAGCACCGGCUAACUACGUGCCAGCAGCCGCAGUAA
rnacentral:rRNA from 1 species